rfam:Rhizoclosmatium globosum strain JEL800 BCR33scaffold_54, whole genome shotgun sequence.
GACAACGUGGCCGAGCGGUUAAGGCGAUAGACUAGAAAUCUAUUACUCUCUGAGUGCGCAGGUUCAAGUCCUGCCGUUGUCG